ACUCGACUAUUUACAGACCGCCGUCACAUAGCUUGAAUAUUGCUGAGUGUGGCGUUAAACAACAAACUGACCAACAAAAAUGAAAUUGAAGAUAAAAAAUGCCUGUUGUUUAUGUUCUCUUAGGAGGAAUUGUGCACAUGUGCAAUACAAGUCACAGGUAUGGCAGAACUCUUUAGUAGUGGGUUAGUAUGGUUUUAUGCCGAAAGCAAUAUUCUAGCAAUAUCUUGGCUGCGCCCCCAGCUGAGCUUCACUAACUGAACCCAUGAUGGGAUUCGACCCCGGGCCUUCGUCCUGACGAACCAAAGUUUUAACCACUGUGCUGUCCUAUCACACAGGCUGAAGUGAAAAGGAAAGUAUACCGAGAUCGUUUUCUGAAAACUGAAAAUUGAAAAAAACCUUUUGUUAAAUUUGAUUACGUCUGUUGAUCAGUCAUUUCUGCGACAGUUUGUUAAAAGUAAUCUGUGGCUGGGUAGUUUUGUGCAAAAACAUAUUGGUUCAAUUAAGACUGGGUAAGAAAUGAAUUUGCAACGACAUGACCCCCAUCAGGUUUGAAAUGUAAAUUUAUGCCGAAAACCCCGAAAUAUGUUGAUUUUCAAAGAUAAGAUGCCAAAGGUUUGUGUAUUAUGCGAUUGUUUGUUAAUUUAAUUUUUUUUUUAUAUUUGAGACAAUAUUACCGAUAACAGGAGUGCUGGGAACAGACAGUAGAUCGCCACCUGAAAUGAUAUCUGAUAAGUUAACAAGAUUACAAAUAAAAUAUGGAGCAAAAAGGGUUUCGGUGAUGCUGGCAAAGUCAGGCCGGUUAGGCUUAUCGUCAGCUCAGAGCCCUUGCCCCCUCUACAAGCUGACCAGAAGGGCUGACAAGUCGAACCCACCGAGAACUUUUCGGAGAAUGUGAAGACUUCCCAACACUGCAGCCUUCUGCAUCACCCAGAUUGUCCGAAGAGCUCUAUUCCUGGCAGCAAACCCGGGUACUCUCCCAAUGUCAGUCAACAGAUUGGGAGGUACCAAACCUAAGGCACCGAGAACUAUGGGGAGUCGGACAACUUGGUACUUGGGAUGCAAGCGUGACAUUCCGAAAGUGAGAUCUGCAUAUUUGCCAUGUUCUUCAUGAAUCGUGUCAAUCACGUUAGUGUCGAAAGGGACGGAAAUGUCAAAGAUAUAAAUGAUUUCAUCGAAUUUAUCAAAAAAGACCAGAUUAGUUUUGUUGGCCUGGAUGGUCUGAGGAUGUAAACGGACCUAUUCCAAAGAAUUUUGUACUAAUAAUUUUCCAUGACGCCCUCUUCAUAUCCUGGUUCGUACCAUGGAUGGACCUCUGUGACAAAACCACAAACAUGGCGAAGACGGUAAUAAAAUGAUUGAGACACUCCAUCGUUUCGCUUCAGAUACUGUGUUUGUGCCAAAGCUGGACAGUCUCAUUAAAUUCAUUGCGUAUUCUACAUUUCAUAUUUACAUUUUGAUGCAAAAUCACACACAGACGGUUUCGAGUGGGAAGCGACUGGUCCUAAACAGCAAACAGAAAGCCUUCUGUUUCACUUUUCAGGCCAGUCGACUUUAUCUUAGCGAAGGACUCUGCGGGGUUGCUAAUCAUCUCAACACACUGCACAUAAACUCGAUGCAGUGAUCGUUCAGAUAGUCUCUCCUUGAAACUGAGUCAUGGUUGACACUCAUUUUUGUUCCUCCAGCAGUACAGAACCAUCAACAAAAUCAACACUGACAUUGAGAUUAUGUCCCAUAUACUUGGCUCGUUUAAGAAAACUGUGUAAUGCCUUCACAAGAGGAUCAUCAGACAAAUAAAUGUGUGCAAAGGUGCACAAUACAUCAUGAAGAGCCUCCACGUUAAUCAAACCACGCACCAAGGGAUCACGCAGAUUAGUCGAUAGCCCAAACCGUCAGAAGACAGAAAGUGUUUUCAGUGUUUGAAUGUUGCUGAAGAUGAAUGCCAUGCCAUUUUAAAUUGCCCUGUGUGUCGUGUUGCGUGACGUAGUGCCACGAGUUGAAUUCAAGUUUUAUCAACAAGUGUGAUGUCCAGAAAACAGCCUAUAUUUUGUCAGAUAAUACUACAUUUCCUCUUACCGCCAGAUCCUGCAUUGACAUAUUACAAAAAAACGGAAGAGUGGUUUAUACAGCUGCUAGUCAGCUUCUGUUUUUAUCAUGUAUACUAAAUAUGUGAAUACAUUUUAGAAGAAUAUCUCUUAUAACUCCGUACGGAGUGAACCAUACAUGUAUUUUAUUAUGCAACAGUAUAGAUCUAUCUGUCUAUCUAUCUAUGAUCGAUAAAUGAUACCAUGUUUUCAAGAA